GCACUCGUGGGGGUGGGGGAGGAGCGGGGGUCGGUCCGGCUGGUUUGUGGGUGGGAGGCGCUUGUUCUCCAAAAACCGGCGCGAGCUGCAAUCCUGAGGGAGCUGCGGUGGAGGAGGUGGAGAGAAGGCCGCACCCUUCUGGGCAGGGGGAGGGGAGUGCCGCAAUACCUUUAUGGGAGUUCUCUGCUGCCUCCCGUCUUGUAAGGACCGCCCUGGGCCUGGAAGAAGCCCUCCCUCCUUUCCUCCUCGCGUGAUCUCGUCAUCGCCUCCAUGUCGAGUCGCUUCUCGAUUAUGGGCGGGAUUCUUUUGCCUAGGCUUAAGGGGCUAACUUGGUCCCUGGGCGUUGCCCUGCAGGGGAGUGAGCAGCUGUAAGAUUUGAGGGGCGACUCCGAUUAGUUUAUCUUCCCACGGACUAGAGUUGGUGUCGAGGUUAUUGUAAUAAGGGUGGGGUAGGGAAAUGGAGCUUAGUCAUUCACCUGGGGCUGAUUUUAUGCAACGAGACUGCGGAUUAUCACUACUUAUCAUUUUUGGAGCAUUUUUCUAGAGACAGACAUAAAGCAUGAUCACCUGAGUUUUAUACCAUUUGAGACCCUUGCUGCACCACCAAAGUGUAGCAUCAGGUUAAAUCUUAAUAGAAAAAUUUUAGCUUUUGCUUGAGAAACCAGUGCUUCCCUCCCUCACCCUCUCUCCCCAGGCUCUCUACCCCUUUGCAUCCCUACCAGGCAUCUUAGCAACUCUCACUCAUACUUGAUCCCAUUUUCCAUUUGUUGUACUUGCUCCUCUAGUAUUCAGACAUAGCACUAGCUUUCUCCCUCUCUUGAUCUUGGGUAGCCUGGUGUCUCGCGAAACCAGACAGAUUGGUUCCACCACAAAUUAAGGCUUGAGCUGGGGCUUGACUCUUACCCAGCAGUGCUUUUAUUCCUCCCUAGUUCACGUUCUUAAAUGUUUAUCUUGAUUUUCAUUUUAUCCUUUUUCCUUAGCUGGGAUUCUGUCCCUGACCGUCUUCACAGUCCAGGUGAUCUUGACUACUGCUUUACAGAGAAUUGGAUCUGAGGUGUGGAAACAGGAAGAGAACUAGAACUGGAAGUAAAGCAUUGAAGAUGUGACUGAAUUGCUGCAAUCUCAUGAUCAAAUUUGAAUGGAUGAGGAGUUGCUUUUUAGGGAUGAGCAAAGAAAGUGGUUUCUCGAGAUGGAAUCUACUGGUGAAGUUGCUGUGAACAUUGUUAAAAUGCCAAUAAAGGAUUUAGGAAUUACAGAAACCUGGUUGAUAAAGCAGUGCCAGGGUGUGAGAGAGUUGACUUCAAUUUUGAAAUAAGUUCCACUGGCUGGGUGUGGUGGCUCACACCUGCAAUCCCAGUACUUUAGGAGGCCGAGACUGGUAGAUCAUUUGAGGUCAGGAGUUCAAGACCAGCCUUGCCAACAUGGUGAAACCCCACCUCUACCAAAUUAGCCAGGUGUGGUGCACACCUGUAGUCCCAGCUACUUGGGAAGCUGAGGCAGGAGAAUCUCUUGAACCAGGGAGGAGGAGGUUGCAGUAAGCCGAGAUGGCGCCCCUGCACUCCAGCCUGGGUGACAGAGUGAGACCUUGCGUUUAAAAAAAAAAAAAAAGGAAAAGGAAAAAAAAGUUCUACUGUGGGUAAAAUGCUAUCAUGCUAUCAAACAGCAUCACAUGCUACAGAGAAGUCUUGUGAAAGGAUGUCAGUGUGGCAAACUUCAUUGUCUUUUAAGAAAUUGCCACAGCUAUCGUAAUCUUCAACCACCACCACCCUGAUGAGUCAGUAGCCAUCGUUAACGUUGGCGUAAGACCCUCCACCAGCAAAAAGAUUGUUAGCAUUUUUUUAGCAGUGAUGUAUUUAUCAAUUAUACAUAAUGCUAUUGUACACUUCUUAAUAGACUAUGGUAUAGUGUAACCAUAAUUUAUGCACUGGGAAACCAACAAAUUCAUGAGAUUCGCUUUAUUGUAGUGCUCUGGAAUUGAGCCUGCCGUGUUUCUGAGGUUGCUCCUUGAGGGCAGGACAGUUCUUAUGGCUUUAUCCGUUGCGUAAGCACAGAGAGGUCUGCGAGGUCAAAACUAUUGUCAUGAUAGCAAGAUGCCUGUCUUUUUCAUUUAUUCUCACGGUGUGCAGAGGCUACAUGAUGUGUGAUGACAUCCUCAUUGAUGUUAAUGAAUGGUGCUAUACUUGAAUUUUCUAAGGUGUCAUUAGGUAGGUUUAGCAAUUCUCCUGCCUCAGCCUCCUGCAUAACUGGGACUACAGGGAAGCACCAUUUUCCACAAAACUCUCAAGAAGGACUUGUUGCAACUGGAAAAGCAAUUAAAUGUGAAUCGUGAUCCAGGAGAAAGUAACAACUCACAUAACUCCCAAAUUAAAAGUUUUCCAAAGAUAUAUCAUUUUUUUUCUCUUGGCCUUUUAAGAAACUAGCCAACAAAUACUCUUGACAGGUUUGUGUUUGGUUUUGAAAACACACACCUUAGUGUACUGAAAGAAAAACAAUUUCUUUUAAUUUGGUUUGUUGGUCCCACACCCCAUCUAUCAAUGUAUGUGCUAUUUACAAAUAAGUUCUAUACAGUAUUUUUGCAGUACCUUUGAUAAUUCCUAGACCUCUAUUUUCAUUCUGUGUAUUAAUGUGAAUAACAGAUGGAUAUUUUAAUAUUUAAGGCAGAUGGUAAACUUUCCUAUAGGUCUUGUGAGACUUCGUCUUAUAGGCUGAACACCAUUCACAAAAUGUAAUAAUGCUUCAUUCCUUCAGGUUGAGGUAAAGAACUUGAGCAACUGGAUUAGCAAAGCUGCAAAGAAUGAAAUGUGGCCUAAGAUGUAAUUAUGUUCUCUGCCCUUCCUUUGGGCCAGGGUAGUUUUGCACUUGACACAAUGGAAAAUAGGCCAUAAAGCCUGAAAAUAAAAUGUUCUAAACCCCAA
rnacentral:lncRNA from 1 species